rnacentral:rRNA from 1 species
UACGGAGGGGGCAAGCGUUGUUCGGAGUCACUGGGCGUAAAGCGCAUGUAGGUGGAUAUGUAAGUCAGAAGUUAAAGGCACCGGCUCAACCGUUGUACGGCUUUUGAAACUACAUGCCUAGAGUGUCGGAGAGGAAUAUGGAAUUCCCAGUGUAGCGGUGAAAUGCGUAGAUAUUGGGAGGAACACCAGUAGCGAAGGCGAUAUUCUGGCCGAUAACUGACACUGAGAUGCGAGAGCAUGGGUAGCAAACAGGAUUAGAUACCCUGGUAGUCCAUGCUGUAAACGAUGGACGCUAGGUGUUGGGGUUUUCAAGCCUCAGUGCCGAAGCAAACGCGUUAAGCGUCCCGCCUGGGGAGUACGGUCGCAAGACUGAAACUCAAAGGAAUUGACGGGGGCCCGCACAAGCGGUGGAGCACGUGGUUUAAUUCGAUGCUAACCGAAGAACCUUACCUAGGUUUGUCAUCCUAAGGAUUUUUUAGAGAUAAGAAAGUGCCGUUCUUUGAACGGAACUUAGAGACAGGUGCUGCAUGGCUGUCGUCAGCUCGUGCCGUGAGGUGUUGGGUUAAGUCCCGCAACGAGCGCAAUCCCUAUUUUUAGUUGCCAUCGGGUUAAGCUGGGCACUCUAAAGAGACUUCCGUCGAUAAGGCGGAGGAAGGUGGGGACGACGUCAAGUCAUCAUGGCCCUUAUGCCUAGGGCUACACACGUGCUACAAUGGGUUAUACAGAGGGCAGCGAGUUCGUGAGGACAAGCGAAUCCCUUAAAGUAAUCCUCAGUUCGGAUUGUAGUCUGCAACUCGACUACAUGAAGCUGGAAUCGUUAGUAAUCGCAGGUCAGCAAAACUGCGGUGAAUACGUUCCUCGGGCCU